UACGUAGGGUGCAAGCGUUGUCCGGAAUUAUUGGGCGUAAAGAGCUCGUAGGCGGUCUGUCGCGUCUGCUGUGAAAACUCAGGGCUUAACCCUGAGCUUGCAGUGGGUACGGGCAGACUAGAGUGCGGUAGGGGAGACUGGAAUUCCUGGUGUAGCGGUGAAAUGCGUAGAUAUCGGGAGGAACACCGGUGGCGAAGGCGGCCUCUGGACGGAUACUGACGCUGAUACGCGAAAGCGUGGGGAGCAAACAGG
rnacentral:rRNA from 1 species